AAGUAGUUUAGUAAGAAUAUCGGCUUUGGGGGUCGAAGGAGUGGAGUUAUGUCUACCUUCUUGAAUU
rnacentral:tRNA from 1 species